rnacentral:ncRNA from 1 species
CAGGUUGUUCUUGGGUGACUGGCAAAUUCACUUUGAAAAAAAUUGAGUACUCAAUGCAGGCAUGACGCCUGAAUAAUGGUACAUGGAAUAAUGGAAUAGGACCUCCGUUCUAUUUUGUUAGUUUUUGGAAUACGAGGUAACGAUUAAGAGGGACACCGCUACUGAAAGCACGAGAUACAAUUCUGUGUGUAUGAAAUAAAAGAGGAAGUCAUUUGGACAGCGGCUCCUAGCACGUUUUUAAGGUGUGCACUAAGAAAUGGUGGAUUCGAGUUGCUUGCAGCUCGAACGCUCUAUGAACAUAAAAAAGCUACCGUAUCUUUCAAGUGUCUGCCUUAUCAACUGUCAAUGGUAGGUAACGCGCCUACCAUGGUUGUAAUGGGUGGCGGGGAAUCAGGGUUUGGUUCCGGAGAGGAAGCCUGAAAAAUGGCUACCACAUCCAAGGAAAGCAGCAGGAGCUCAAAUUACCCACUCCCAGAAUGGGGAGGUAGUGACGAAAAAUAACAGUAUGGAACUAUUUUGAGACCCCGUAAUUGGAAUGAGUACACUCUAAAUCCUUUAACGAGGAUCAAUUAGAGGGCAAGUCUGGUGCCAACAGCUGCGGUAAUUCCAGCUCCAAUAGCGUAUAUUAAAGUUAUUGCUGUUAAAAAGCUCAUAGUUGGAUCUGAUGGGUGAUCCACCUACCGGUGGUUACUGCCUGUUCUGAACAGCCAGCCAAUUUCGUUUGAUGAUCUUCACUGGUUGUCUUGAAUGACUGGCAAGUUUACUUUGAAAAAAUUAGAGUGCUCAAAGCAGGCAUGACGCCUAAAUAAUGGUGUAUGGAAUAAUGGAAUAGGACCUCGGUUCUAUUUUGUUGGUUUUCAAAAUAGGAGGUAAUGAUUGAGAGGGACAGACGGGGUGCAUUCUUACUGCAAUGCUAGGGGUGAAAUUCUUGGAGCAUCGCAAGACGAACUACUGUGAAAGCAUGUGCCAAGAAUGUUUCCAUUAAUCAAGAACAAAAGUUAGAGGUUUGAAGGUGAUCACACAAACUUUUCUCCAUAUUUCAAUUCUACAACUCAA